rnacentral:rRNA from 1 species
CAGGUCACUCCUACGGGAGGCAGCAGUGGGGAAUAUUGGACAAUGGGGGCAACCCUGAUCCAGCAAUGCCGCGUGAGUGAUGAAGGCCUUCGGGUUGUAAAGCUCUUUUGCCAGGGACGAUGAUGACGGUACCUGGAGAAUAAGCCCCGGCUAACUUCGUGCCAGCAGCCGCGGUAAUACGAAGGGGGCUAGCGUUGUUCGGAAUUACUGGGCGUAAAGGGCGCGUAGGCGGUCUGAUAAGUUAGAUGUGAAAUUCCCGGGCUUAACCUGGGGGCUGCAUUUGAUACUGUCAGGCUUGAAUCCAGGAGAGGAUAGUGGAAUUCCCAGUGUAGAGGUGAAAUUCGUAGAUAUUGGGAAGAACACCAGUGGCGAAGGCGGCUAUCUGGACUGGUAUUGACGCUGAGGCGCGAAAGCGUGGGGAGCAAACAGGAUUAGAUACCCUGGUAGUCCACGCCGUAAACGAUGAGUGCUAGACGCUGGUAGGUUUACCUAUCGGUGUCGCAGCUAACGCAUUAAGCACUCCGCCUGGGGAGUACGGUCGCAAGAUUAAAACUCAAAGGAAUUGACG